rnacentral:misc_RNA from 1 species
UCUCCGUUGGUGAACCAGCGGAGGGAUCAUUACCGAGUUUACAACUCCCAAACCCAAUGUUAACUAUACCUGUCUCCCGUUGCUUCGGCGGGAUCGCCCGCCGCGGGACCGACAAAUAAACUCUUGUAUUUCUAUCUUUAGAAUGUCUGAGUGGAAGCAUAAACAAAUGAAUCAAAACUUUCAACAACGGAUCUCUUGGUUCUG